rnacentral:rRNA from 1 species
CGAUCCUAGCUUGCUAGGAGGCGUCGAGCGGCGGACGGGUGAGUAAUGCAUAGGAAUCUGCCCGGUAGUGGGGGAUAACUUGAGGAAACUCAAGCUAAUACCGCAUACGCCCCAAGGGGGAAAGCAGGGGAUCUUCGGACCUUGCGCUAUCGGAUGAGCCUAUGUCGGAUUAGCUAGUUGGUGAGGUAAUGGCUCACCAAGGCCGCGAUCCGUAGCUGGUCUGAGAGGAUGAUCAGCCACAUCGGGACUGAGACACGGCCCGAACUCCUACGGGAGGCAGCAGUGGGGAAUAUUGGACAAUGGGCGAAAGCCUGAUCCAGCCAUGCCGCGUGUGUGAAGAAGGCCUUCGGGUUGUAAAGCACUUUCAGCGAGGAAGAAUGCUUGCGGGUUAAUACCCCGCAAGAAGGACAUCACUCGCAGAAGAAGCACCGGCUAACUCCGUGCCAGCAGCCGCGGUAAUACGGAGGGUGCAAGCGUUAAUCGGAAUUACUGGGCGUAAAGCGCGCGUAGGCGGCUUGAUAAGCCGGUUGUGAAAGCCCCGGGCUCAACCUGGGAACGGCAUCCGGAACUGUCAGGCUAGAGUGCAGGAGAGGAAGGUAGAAUUCCCGGUGUAGCGGUGAAAUGCGUAGAGAUCGGGAGGAAUACCAGUGGCGAAGGCGGCCUUCUGGACUGACACUGACGCUGAGGUGCGAAAGCGUGGGUAGCAAACAGGAUUAGAUACCCUGGUAGUCCACGCCGUAAACGAUGUCGACUAGCCGUUGGGGUCCUCGAGACCUUUGUGGCGCAGUUAACGCGAUAAGUCGACCGCCUGGGGAGUACGGCCGCAAGGUUAAAACUCAAAUGAAUUGACGGGGGCCCGCACAAGCGGUGGAGCAUGUGGUUUAAUUCGAUGCAACGCGAAGAACCUUACCUACUCUUGACAUCGAGCGAACCAUCCAGAGAUGGAUGGGUGCCUUCGGGAACGCUCAGACAGGUGCUGCAUGGCCGUCGUCAGCUCGUGUUGUGAAAUGUUGGGUUAA